GCACUUCGGGAUAAGCCUGGGAAACUGGGUCUAAUACCGGAUAGGACUACGGCCUGCAUGGGUUGUGGUGGAAAGCCUUUGCGGUGUGGGAUGGGCCCGCGGCCUAUCAGCUUGUUGGUGAGGUUAUGGCUUACCAAGGCGACGACGGGUAGCCGGCCUGAGAGGGUGACCGGCCACACUGGGACUGAGAUACGGCCCAGACUCCUACGGGAGGCAGCAGUGGGGAAUAUUGCACAAUGGGCGCAAGCCUGUUGCAGCGACGCCGCGUGAGGGAUGACGGCCUUCGGGUUGUAAACCUCUUUCAGCAGGGACGAAGCGCAGGUGACGGUACCUGUAGAAGAAGGACCGGCCAACUACGUGCCAGCAGCCGCGGUAAUACGUAGGGUCCGAGCGUUGUCCGGAAUUACUGGCGUAAAGAGCUCGUAGGUGGUUUGUCGCGUUGUUCGUGAAAACUCACAGCUCAACUGUGGGCGUGCGGGCGAUACGGGCAGACUUGAGUACUGCAGGGGAGACUGGAAUUCCUGGUGUAGCGGUGGAAUGCGCAGAUAUCAGGAGGAACACCGGUGGCGAAGGCGGGUCUCUGGGCAGUAACUGACGCUGAGGAGCGAAAGCGUGGGGAGCGAACAGGAUUAGAUACCCUGGUAGUCCACGCCGUAAACGGUGGGUACUAGGUGUGGGUUUCCUU
rnacentral:rRNA from 1 species